rnacentral:rRNA from 1 species
AGUGAACGCUGGCGGUAGGCCUAACACAUGCAAGUCGAACGGCAGCACAGUAAGAGCUUGCUCUUACGGGUGGCGAGUGGCGGACGGGUGAGGAAUACAUCGGAAUCUACUUUUUCGUGGGGGAUAACGUAGGGAAACUUACGCUAAUACCGCAUACGACCUACGGGUGAAAGCAGGGGAUCUUCGGACCUUGCGCGAUUGAAUGAGCCGAUGUCGGAUUAGCUGGUUGGCGGGGUAAGGGCCCACCAAGGCGACGAUCCGUAGCUGGUCUGAGAGGAUGAUCAGCCACACUGGAACUGAGACACGGUCCAGACUCCUACGGGAGGCAGCAGUGGGGAAUAUUGGACAAUGGGCGCAAGCCUGAUCCAGCUAUACCGCGUGGGUGAAGAAGGCCUUCGGGUUGUAAAGCCCUUUUGUUGGGAAAGAAAAGCAGCAGGUUAAUACCCCGCUGUUCUGACGGUACCCAAAGAAUAAGCACCGGCUAACUUCGUG